AAGACAAUUUUGGGUGUUUUCUCCGG
rnacentral:misc_RNA from 1 species